AGGCAAAGGAGCAGGAGGGGGAUGUGUGCUGGAGCUGGGAAGUACUUGGAUGAAAGAAAGAGCCUUUCUCCAUGAGUGCGUGCCAGCCUUUGGGAGAGAAACUUGAUGACCGAGGAUUGCAGCAACAAAGGCAAUUAGACGUCUGCUGCAUAUGCAUUAAAUAGUCUAUAUAAUCCUAGAAUGAAGACGUUACUAAGAACAGCCCAUGAGGAUGCUGAGCUAGAGGAAGCAUGACAAUAGAUAAUUUCAAAUCCAGCCAAGCUUGAAAGAGCUUUUCUUAUUUCACAAAACCAUUGAAUGUGCAGUACUUACAGCAUUAAUUCUUGGCCCCUUGGUAUGUGCUAACUACAGCCUAACUCCUGAGGGCAUCUUCAGAGCAGCUGUCAGAAAGCCAUGGAACUUUGUGUCACCCAGACCAGAAUACACAGUGCUGCUCACGAACCCCUCUGUCACAGCAGACCCAGUAACUUAUCUGUCACUAAAAGUGGGAUGUGCAGAGUUUGCCUGGGUGAGAGCUGAAAACCUGAUGGGGUUUGAGAGUAAAUGUUUCAGUGCCUCUUCUAAAUACUUGAGGAAUGCUCCUAACAUCCUGAUGCGAUGAGUGCAAAAGGCAGACAGAAUGGCCCGCAAUGGAUGCUGAACUGCAGGAAGUCGGGAUGCAGAAGGGAGGAUUAUUUUGGCACACCUGGGUUCUGCAGCUCUUAGCAGUGUAUUUAACAACCACACUUGUGGAGCUACACAUGGUCCUCAUGCUCCUAAUCAGAAGUUACACUGGUUUUGCUGACGAAGUGCCCUUCUGCCCAUUCUCCAGAGCCUGGCUAGAAAGGCUUUCCAUCAAUGCUCGGGCUGUGGCUGCUGGAUUUGGCCCCAUGGGUUUCAUGGCUCUCCCAAGGAUCCCUGAGCCCCUGCAGCAGAUGUUGAUGAGAGUUUAGUGGCUGAGAGUUUGAAUUUUUGCUCUCCAUUUCAUUGCACUGGUGUUGUUUCAAAAGUUCUGAUGACUUCUCUGGGAAUACUUCAGGAGCAUCUCAGCAGGUCCUCUGCCAAACUCCAAAUGACAAAGACUUGUCCCUUUCUGCUCUCCAGGGAGCAUCCAGCUCAAGGCCAGAGCCACCUCUUUUGCUUCACUGUUGGUCACCAUCCUCUCCCACAGCUCUUUUGCUCCAUACACAACUUUGUAUUGCCAAACCUUUUUGCAGAGCUGGUGACAGAUGGGGGGAUAGCCAAGCAAGAAGUUGUGCAAGCCCAAAACAGCCACAGGAAACUUUCUUUGACUAAAAAUCUUGUAUCUAGACACAAGGACCCAAGACCAUAGGUAGAUAGGGACUGAAAGUAAGGGACAGGGUAGAGGUGAAUUGACCAGCAGCACAACACUGGAAGCCUCAUCAGCAAUCUGCUUCUCCAUGGUUUACUUCAGUGCAUCCUCCAAACCAGCUGUAUAUCCUCAGCAGCACUAAAUGAUGCUGUGUAGCACUUGGCACAACUCUCAUUUCAACCUGCCUACCCCAGAAAGCAUUUUCUCCUUCUCUGGCACCUUCUCCUGCACGCUUUUUCUAUGUGUUGAGGUUU